UCAGGCCCGGGCGGCGGGCGGCGGGCGGCGUACGCAGGCGGGAGCCCGCUGCCAGGGAGCCGAGAAGAUGCUGCUGUCCCUGGUGCUCCACACGUACUCCAUGCGCUACCUGCUGCCCAGCGUCGUGUUCCUGGGCACAGCGCCCACCUACGUGCUGGCUUGGGGGGGUCUGGCGGCUGCUCUCCGCCUUCCUGCCCUCCCGCUUCUACCAGGCGCUGGACGAUCGGCUCUACUGCGUCUACCAGAGCAUGGUGCUCUUCUUCUUCCGGGGUCCAGUUGACUGGAUUGUUGCCGACAUCUUGGCCAUAAGGCAGAAUGCGCUUGGACACGUGCGCUACGUGCUGAAAGAUGGGUUAAAAUGGCUGCCAUUGUAUCGGUGUUAUUUUUUUCAGCAUGGAGGCAUCUAUGUAAAGCAAAGUGCCAAAUUUAAUGAGAAAGAGAUGAGAAACAAGCUGCAGAGCUACGUGGACGCAGGAACUCCAAUGUAUCUUGUGAUUUUUCCAGAAGGUACAAGGUAUAAUCCAGAACAAACAAAAGUCAUUUCAUCUAGUCAGGCAUUUGCUGCCCAACGUGGCCUUCCAGUAUUGAAGUAUGUGCUAACACCACGGAUAAAGGCAAAUCACGUUGCUUUUGAUUGCAUGAAGAAGUAUUUAGAUGCAAUUUAUGAUGUUACAGUGGUUUACGAAGGGAAGGACGAUGGAGGGCAGCAAAGAGAGGCACCGACCAUGAUGGAAUUUCUCUGCAAAGAAUCUCCAAAAAUUCAUAUUCACAUUGAUCAUAUUGACAAAAAAGAUGUCCCGGAAGAACAAGAACGUAUGAGAAGAUGGCUGCAUGAACGUUUCGAAAUCAAAGACAAGAUGCUUAUAGAAUUUUAUGAGUCAUCAGAUCCAGAAAGAAAAACAGAUUUCCUGGGAAAAGUGUUCAUUCCAAGUUAAGUAUGACAAAGACUUUACCAUCAAUGUUGAUCUUAAGUGGCUUGACUACAGGCAUGCUUAUGACCGAGGCUGGAAGGAAGCUGUAUGUGAACACGUGGAUAUAGGGAACCCUACUUGGCUGCCUGUGGAUUACUAUCAAACAAUUAACAAGUAGCUGCCUCCAGACAGUGGGAUGUGCUACAUUGCCUAUUUUUGGCAGCUGCACAUGACAUCAAAUUGUUUGCUGAAUUUAAUAAGGAGUGUAAAUAAAGCCUUGUUGGUUGAACAUUGGAUAUAAUAGAAAUUGUGACGAAAGCUGAUAUGCAAUGGUCUUGGGCAAACAAACAUGGUGAUACCACUUUAGCACUGGGGCUGCUGGAAGGGUAAAAGCUAAAUGGAGUUUCUCCUGCUCUUUCAAUUUCCCAUGCGCUAAUGACAACUUCAGAAGGCUAGGAGGACUGUGUAUUUUGUAAGUCAGAUGGCUGCAUUUUUGAGCAUUAAUUAGCAGCAUAUUUCACUCUGUUAUUUUCAAUUUAUUACCAUUUGACAGCUCCAAACUCUUAUAUUAAAGUACUUAGUAUCUUGCAGCUAGGUAAUAUUUCAUGUUUUGCUUAAUUUCUACAAGUCAGUGAAAGAAACUGUAUUUAAGAAGUGUCAGCUGGGCGCAGUGGCUCAUGCCUGUAAUCCCAGGGCUUUGGGAGGCCAAGUCGGGCAGAUUACCUGAGGUCAGGAGUUCAAGACCAGCCUGACCAACAUGGAGAAAUCCUGUCUCUACUAAAAAUACAAAAUCAGCUGGGCUUUGUGGCACAUGCCUAUAAUCCCAGCUACUUGGGAAGCUGAGACAGGAGAAUUGCUUAAACUUGGGAGACAGAGGUUGCGGUGAGCCAAAAUCGUGCCGUUGCACUCCAGCCUAGGCAACAAGAGUGAAACUCUGUCUCAAACACAAAAAAGAAAAAAGAAAAAAGAAGUGUCAAGAUGUUAAACGGAAAGGGUAAAAAAUAUUUGUGGGAAAAGCUCUGUUUAGCACAUGAUUUUCUUGUAUUGCAUUAUUAGCUGAUUUUACUCAUAUUUGCAAAAUAAUUAAAUUUCUAAUAUCUAUUGAAAUUGCUUAAUUUGCACACCCUGUACACACAAAAAUGGUAUAAAAUAUGGGAAUGAAGUUUAAAAUUGUGACUCUGAUUCAUUGUAGAACUUUAAAUUUCCCAGCUUUUUGAAGAUUUAAGCUACGCUGUUAGUACUUCCCUAUGUCUGUGCCAUAAGUGCUUGAAAACAUUAAGGUUUUGGGUUUUUUAAAGUAUCAAAAUAGUCAGUGUGAACCCUGGUUGGACCCCAAGUUCACAAGAUAUUUAAGGUGAUGGGAGCCUGCAGACAUUCUGCCUAGAUUUACUAGCAUGUGCCUUUUGCCUAUGUCUCUUUGAUUUCACAGAAUAUGAAUUCAGAAGUCACAUUUCUGUACCAUGCUGGAUUCCCACUGGGCUCUGGUUCUUUACCCAUGGAUCCCGUUAGUGGUGCUGCUCAGCGGCUUGCACGCAGACUUGCUCAGAGGAAAUGCAGAGCCAGCCCAUGCUGCUGCUGUCAGAGGUCAACUCACUAAGCCUUUGCCAGCGGGCUUCACCAGCCACUGCAGAGGCAUUUUGCAUUUGUCUGUGUCAAGAAAUUCACCUUGUCAAACCAGUGAAAUAUAGACUGGAUUCAUCAGGACUGAGCGAAUUUGUUCAUUUCCCAGUACUUUUAAUGGAGCUACACAUUCAUAUGUAUCACCUUAGAGCAAGAGCUGUGUUCCAGGAACCAAAUCAUGAAUUUCAGCCAUGGACCCAUGGGAAGAAGACCUUUCAGUGUGAACUACUCUAUUUUUAUGUUAUAAUUUCAACUUGGAUUUCCUCAUAGUCCUUUAAGUUAACAUUUCUGCUUACUGCUACUGGAUUUUUGUAGCAAAAAUGUAUCAGUGAGCCACAUGAAACAUACCAAUGGGAUCAUGAUAAACAAAAUGAAAAAUGAUUAAGGGAAAAUUAAGUGACUGCUACUCUGCUUCUCCCAAGCCAGAGAAAUAACUUUCAAGCAAUGUCUUUGAA